CUUCCAUCCAUCCUGAGUUGGUUUUUGUGUGCACUUAGAAGAAGGGGUCUGGUCCACUCCCACGCCUGCCUGUCUAGUCUUACAGUUCCACUUCGUGAAAGGGGCUGUCUUUUCUCCACUGUUUGUCUUGGUGCCUUUGUUGGCUGUAUGUAUCCAGGAUUAACCUCUGGGUUCUUUACGUCCAUCUCUGUGUAGGAUUUUAUGUCAGGACCACAGUGUUUUGGUUACUACAAUUUUCUAGGUGUUAUAUGAAGUUUAAGAUUUUUUUUCUAUUUUGGUUUCUCAUCUUGCAAGGGUUGGAGUGCUCAAUUGGGAUCAUCUUAGUCCCUCGACCCACCUAACUAGGUAUGUCCAAAUGUUGGAAUAUGCAGAAAUCAAGCUAGAGACAGCCCGAUGGUGACCUGUGAUUGCCACAGUGCAGCAGGGCUUCCUACAGGAGGCCCUCCUGUCAUGCAAGGGGAGCACUGAUAUUUCUUAGAGGAAGGUGCCUUAGCCAUGGGAGGCCAGACCUUUGUGCUGUCUCCUUGCCUGAAGGCUCAGUGCCAUCCUGAGAAGGGCUGUGGUCAGACCCACAGGGCCUACCCCAUUGGCCAGAUCCCAGUCACAUGACUUGAUCAGAACUGCAAAGGAGGCUGGGAAAUAUGGAGGACUUAUGGAGAUGGAGAAGUCCAGCAGCAUGGUACGGGCAUCUCAGGCUGCACCGCAAGGUAAUUAAAGGGCAGACACACAGGAGAGAGAGAAUCAGAUCAAACUCAGAACCCACUCUCAGCGUAAUGACGUUAAUCCUUGAGGACAGAACCCUCACCUUUUACAACCCUCCUUUUACUGCUGCUGCAAAGGCAAUUGGUUUCAGAGUGAGUUGUGGCAGGCCCACUUGAACCGCAGCAGAGAACGCUGGAAAUCUCUCCUGCAGACUCAGUCUAUGCUCACGAAAUGUUAGGGACGAACAAUUCCUG
rnacentral:lncRNA from 1 species